UGGGGAAUAUUGCACAAUGGGCGCAAGCCUGAUGCAGCCAUGCCGCGUGUAUGAAGAAGGCCUUCGGGUUGUAAAGUACUUUCAGCGGGGAGGAAGGGAGUAAAGUUAAUACCUUUGCUCAUUGACGUUACCCGCAGAAGAAGCACCGGCUAACUCCGUGCCAGCAGCCGCGGUAAUACGGAGGGUGCAAGCGUUAAUCGGAAUUACUGGGCGUAAAGCGCACGCGGGCGGUCUGUCAAGUCGGAUGUGAAAUCCCCGGGCUCAACCUUGGAACUGCAUUCGAAACUGGCAGGCUAGAGUCUUGUAGAGGGGGGUAGAAUUCCAGGUGUAGCGGUGAAAUGCGUAGAGAUCUGGAGGAAUAACGGUGGCGAAGGCGGCCCCCUGGACAAAGACUGACGCUCAGGUGCGAAAGCGUGGGGAGCAAACAGG
rnacentral:rRNA from 1 species